rnacentral:RNase_P_RNA from 1 species
CGCAGCUGCAGACGCCGAAAGGCAGCAGGUGAGGAAAGUCCGGGCUUCACAGGGCAGGAUGCCGGAUAACGUCCGGUGGAGGCGACUCCAAGGCCAGUGCAACAGAAAUGUACCGCGUUUGCAAUGAGCCAUGCGCCAUGGAAAGCAAAGAGGCGUUGUAAGUUUACUUACAUACGCAUCUGAGCUGAACAUGGCAUACGGCGAAUGCCGCGUAGCGAGAAGAGCGAAGCGAUUGGAGCUACGAGCAUGGCGUGUAGAAAAAGAGAAGUGAGCAUACGGCGAAUGCCGCGUAGCGAGAAGAGCGAAGCGAUUGGAGCUACGAGCAUGGCGUAUGGCUCAUUGCAAACGUAAGGGUGGAAGGGCAGUGUAAGAGACUACCGCCCUGCUGGUAACAGCAGGGGCACAUGUAAACCCCAUCCGAAGCAAGACCGGAUAAAGACAAUGUGGCGGCCCGUCACGUCUUAGGUAGGUUGCUUGAUCCCGUUGGUGACGGCGGGGCUAGAUAGAUGAUUACUCAACGACAUAACCCGGCUUAUCGUCUUGCUUG